rnacentral:rRNA from 1 species
UACGAAGGGGGCUAGCGUUGCUCGGAAUUACUGGGCGUAAAGGGCGCGUAGGCGCCUUCUAAGUCAGACGUGAAAUCCCUCGGCUCAACCGGGGAACUGCGUCUGAGACUGGAAGGCUUGGAAUCCGGGAGAGGGAUGUGGAAUUCCAGGUGUAGCGGUGAAAUGCGUAGAUAUCCGGGAGGAACACCGGUGGCGAAGGCGGCUUCCUGGACCGACACUGACGCUGAGGCGCGAAAGCUAGGGGAGCAAACGG